rnacentral:rRNA from 1 species
GCCAAACAGCUAGCUUAUUCACCCAAAUAAUUUAACAACACAAAUAAUAUAGCACAAACCUAAACCUAUAAACCAAACCAUUUUUCCACUUUAGUACGGGAGACGGAAAAAGUUCCUUAAGCAAUAGAAAAAGUACCGCAAGGGAAAGCUGAAAGAGCAAUGAAACAAAUCAUACCUAGCACAAAAAAGCAGAGAUUAAAUCUCGUACCUUUUGCAUCAUGAUUUAGCAAGAAUAUUACAAGCAAAGAGACCUUUAGUUUGAAACCCCGAAACCAAGCGAGCUACCCCGGGACAGCCUACAUGGGCCAACCCGUCUCUGUGGCAAAAGAGUGGGAAGAGCCCCGGGUAGAGGUGACAGACCUACCGAGCUUGGUGAUAGCUGGUUGCCUGAGAAACGAAUAGAAGUUCAGCCUCGUACCCCCUUUAGUCAAAAAAGUAAUAUCUAAUCUAGAACAAAAGAUAAGCACGAGAGUUAGUUAAAGGGGGUACAGCCCCUUUAACAAAGGACACAACCUUACCAGGAGGAUAGGGAUUAUAAUUACAAAAACCCGUCGUUUUAGUGGGCCUAAAAGCAGCCAUCUCAACAGAAAGCGUUAAAGCUCAAACGACAUAAAAUUUAUUAUUCCAAUAAAAAAUCCCACUCCCCUACAACUAUCAGGCCGCUCCAUGCUUACCAUGGAAGAGACUAUGCUAAAAUGAGUAACAAGAGAGCACACCUCUCUCCCAGCGCAAGUGUACACCAGACUGGACAAACCACUGGUAAUCAACGAACCCAAAAAAAGAGGGCAAUAUGAAUAACAAAAUAAAACAAGAAAACCUCAUACCCCAGAAUCGUUAACCCCACACUGGAGCGCAUUAAAGGAAAGACUAAAAGAGAAGGAAGGAACUCGGCAAACACAAGCCUCGCCUGUUUACCAAAAACAUCGCCUCCUGCAAACCACUAAGUAUAGGAGGUCCAGCCUGCCCAGUGACCACAAGUUUAACGGCCGCGGUAUUUUGACCGUGCAAAGGUAGCGCAAUCACUUGUCUUUUAAAUGAAGACCUGUAUGAAUGGCCAAACGAGGGCUUAACUGUCUCCCAUCUCAAGUCAGUGAAAUUGAUCUGCCCGUGCAGAAGCGGGCAUAAAAGUACAAGACGAGAAGACCCUUUGGAGCUUAAGGUACAAACCCAAUCGCGUCAAACAGCUUACCCAAUAAGCUCCAAACCUAGCGAAAUAUGGAAUUUUACCUUCGGUUGGGGCGACCACGGAGAAAAAACUAUCCUCCGAGUGGACCGGGUUAACUUAACCUAAAACUAAGAGAGACAUCUCUAAGUCACAGAACAUCUGACCAAUAAUGAUCCGGCCAUAGGCCGAUCAACGGACCAAGUUACCCUAGGGAUAACAGCGCAAUCCUCUCCCAGAGUCCAUAUCGACGAGGGGGUUUACGACCUCGAUGUUGGAUCAGGACAUCCUAAUGGUGCAGCCGCUAUUAAGGGUUCGUUUGUUCAACGAUUAAAGUCCUACGUGAUCUGAGUUCAGACCGGAGCAAUCCAGGUCAGUUUCUAUCUGUAACGUCACUUUUCCUAGUACGAAAGGAUCGGAAAAGAGAGGCCCAUGCCGAAAGUACGCCUCACCCCUAAUUAAUGAAAACAACUCAACUAAAUAAAUGGAGGACCUAUAAACUAGGCCAAGAUAAAGCCAC